AAGCAAUGAGACUUAAUUCUUCCUCAAGCGGAGUUUGCAUACAACCGCUCAAGUAGUUCUACUACCGAUGCUAGUCCUUUUGAGAUCGUCUAUGGGUGCAAUCCUAAUGGCCCCCUUGAUCUAGCUCCCCUUCCUCAUGUUGUUCGAUUUAGCGGUGAUGCAGAAGCAAGAGCUAAUGAAAUCAAAAAGAUGCAUGAGCAAGUUCGAUCCAAGAUUGAGAAGAGCAAUCAAAAGUUUAAGGAGAGAGCUGAUAAGUAUCGACGCUCGGCAUCAUUUAAAGAAGGCGACCUUGUAUGGAUUCAUCUUCGUAAAGAACGAUUCCCCCAUGGAAGAUAUAGCAAAUUACAAGAUCGUGCUGAUGGACCAUUUCGAGUUCUUAAGCGUAUUGGAGAAAAUGCCUAUCAAAUUGAACUUCCUGAUGAUUAUGGAGUUUCUGCUACCUUCAAUAUUUCUGAUCUAAUUCCAUAUCAUGAUAAAGAAGAGGCAUUGGACAACUCGAAGACGAGUUGAGCUUCAACCGGGGGAGUAUGAUGCAGGUGCAUGAACAUCAGACAAUUUGCAUGCCAUUUUUAGAGUAUUAAAUGGCCGAAUUUAGAAAAGUUAUUAACAUAAAGGUUUCAGGUCUCUUUCUCUUCUUUCCAACAAGCCUAAGAACAUUAAAAUCCGAGUUAUGGUUGGAAAGUUAUAGGUAUUUCAAGAGGCAGGUGUCUUUUGACCUUUUAAAUUUCCUAAGAGAAUUUAGUUGGUUUUGAUGUCUUUUAUUGUGUGAGUUACCCAUAUUAAGGUGACUUUUGAUCUUUCAUUUUCUUUUGUCUUUUCAUGUUACCCAUGACUUGCCUAUAAAUAGUCAUGAAUUGUAAUGAGAAGGCAUCCAAGUAUUUGAAUGAAAGUUAUCUUCCUCCUUGCACAAGAAAUUUAUCUUAUCUUUUCUCCCACUUCCAUUGGAUUGCAAAUUGAUCCAAGCGGUAUCA